AGAGUUUGAUCAUGGCUCAGAACGAACGUUGGCGGCGUGGUUGAGGCAUGCAAGUCGCACGAGAAGCACGUAGCAAUACGUGUUGUAAAGUGGCGGAAGGGUGAGGAAUGGGUAGAUAACGUACCCAGAAGAUGGGGAUAACGGCUCGAAAGAGCCGCUAAUACCCGAUGAGACCACAUCAUGGAAACAUGGAGAGGUCAAAGGCCGGGGAUCUUCGGACCUGGCGCUUCUGGAUCGGUCUGCUUCCUACCAGCUAGUUGGCGGGGUAAUGGCCCACCAAGGCUGCGACGGGUACCCGGGCUGAGAGGCUGAUCGGGCACAUCGGCACUGAGACACUGGCCGGACACCUACGGGUGGCUGCAGUUCGGAAUAUUCGGCAAUGGACGAAAGUCUGACCGAGCGACGCCGCGUGCGGGAUGAAGGCCCUAUGGGUUGUAAACCGCUUUCGCGAUUAAGUAAAUCAUGCAGGUUUAAUAAACCGGUAUGUUGAAUAAGGAUCGUAAAGAAGCCCCCGCUAAUCACGUGCCAGCAGCGGCGGUAAUACGUGAGGGGCGAACGUUGUUCGGUGUCACUGGGCUUAAAGGGUGCGUAGGUGGUUGCGUAAGUAAGGUGUGAAAUCCCUCGGCUUACCCGGGGAAUUGCAUUUUAUACUGCGUGGCUUGAGGACUAAAGGGGAAAAGGGAACUCCAGGUGUAGCGGUGAAAUGCGCAGAUAUCUGGGGGAAGGCCGGCGGCGAAGGCGCUUUUCUGGUUAGUACCUGACACUGAGGCACGAAAGCGUGGGGAGCAAACAGGAUUAGAUACCCUAGUAGUCC
rnacentral:rRNA from 1 species